rnacentral:lncRNA from 1 species
AGGUUAUGCCUAUUUACUCAAAAGUGUGGGUUCGUUAGUUCAUAUCAGGAUUACACAUUACGUACACAAUUAUACAAUCACAUCUGUUUAAUAAUCAAAAUCGCUCGAUUCAUAUUAAUGCGCGAUGUAAUGCCGCUCUAUGACUCAAGGUUUGUAAAAAUAUAUCAGGGAUUUCCAAUACUUGGAAAGUAUAAAAUUGAGGUUUGAGAUUAUAUGUUAAUAGCAAAUUGACAAAUCGAAGGAGAACAACGACUUUCUCUAUAUUCUGAACCUACUGAAUUUAAAAAAAAAAAUAAAUAACUGUAUCAAAUUCAAACAUGACUUCUGAAUAUGAACCAAGCCCUAAUCCAAGGGACAGGGACCGAUUUCAAAUAUUUGUGAGAGAUGUACAGAAUAGGAGUCAUGCAUUUGAGGUAUAUCCAGAAACGACUGUGAGAGAACUUAAAGAUAUGAUAUCCAGACAAAUCAAGGUUAAUGUAGCACAACAGAGAUUACUUUUUCAAAGUAAACAACUCAAAGAUGAAGACACAAUGGAAUUUUAUGGUAUCAAAAAAGGAAUAAAUGCAACCAUUUACUUGGUCUUAAGGUUAAGAGGAGGAUAAGCGGAACACUGAUCUACAUAUUGGUAUACAACCUUGAGUGACGGCAUAGGAACCACAAGGUGGAAACUAGUGAGCGUAUUCAUGCAGUUAUAAUGUGGACUACAGCUUUAUAUACAACCUUGACUGACACAUGACAUGAGAACAAUACUGAGUAUUCUUAAUAGUGAGUGUAUUCCCAGGGCGGAUACAGGAUUUGGCUGUAGGGGGUGCGCGAGAGUCCACACCACCUCAGCCCCAAUACCAAUAAUCAAUAACAAAUAGUUACUAUAUUAAUUAUUUAUAACUCUGUAUUUCUCUUGUUUUUUUUUUUUUUUGUUUUUUUUUUUAUUAUUAACAAUUUUAUGUAAAGUUAAUGUAAAUUUUCUAUUAUGAUCCUUGCUUUUUGAUGUUUUUGAUGCUAAAGAUAAUUCUUUUUAGCUGCCAUGAUUUAUGUUUUUGAUGAAUUUUUGAAUUUUGAAUAAAGUACCAUUAUAUAUAUACAUAAAUCUCUCGCUGACAA